rnacentral:rRNA from 1 species
AUUGAACGCUGGCGGCAUGCCUUACACAUGCAAGUCGAACGGUAACAGGUUAAGCUGACGAGUGGCGAACGGGAGAGUAAUGUAUCGGAACGUGCCCAGUCGUGGGGGAUAACUGCUCGAAAGAGCAGCUAAUACCGCAUACGACCUGAGGGUGAAAGCGGGGGAUCGCAAGACCUCGCGCGAUUGGAGCGGCCGAUAUCAGAUUAGGUAGUUGGUGAGGUAAAGGCUCACCAAGCCGACGAUCUGUAGCUGGUCUGAGAGGACGACCAGCCACACUGGGACUGAGACGCGGCCCAGACUCCUACGGGAGGCAGCAGUGGGGAAUUUUGGACAAUGGGCGCAAGCCUGAUCCAGCCAUGCCGCGUGCGGGAAGAAGGCCUUCGGGUUGUAAACCGCUUUUGUCAGGGAAGAAAAGGUUCUGGCUAAUACCUGGGACUCAUGACGGUACCUGAAGAAUAAGCACCGGCUAACUACGUG